CAGGUAGACUGCUGGAAUUGUGGCAGGAAAGGACACAUUAAACGUAACUGCAGGUGUCCUCCUAAAAAUAGAAAACCCCAAGAUUCUAAUGAUAACUCCCAUGACAGCCAACCACCACCACCACCACCUCCCCCCCCCCAAUAGGAAAUUGGCAAACCAGUGUCCCUACAUAUCAUCAAUAUCCCUGACUCUGCAGGACCCUCAUCCAUUAUCUAAUGCAGAUUUUGAGUUUUUUUGUAGAUGGUUCCAGAUAUGCUGAUGAGAAGGGUAAUUUCCACACUGGAUAUGCUGUAGUCUCUGCACAUGAGGUAAUAAAAGCUGAACCACUCGCUCCUCACUGCUCUGCACAGGAGGCAGAGCUGAAGGCACUCGCUGAAGCGUGUAAAAUGGCCUCUGGUAAGACUGCUAAUAUUUAUACAGACUCUCGCUAUGCUUUUGGUAUAGCCCAUGAUUUUGGCCCUAUAUGGCGGGCUCGUGAUUUUCUCACCUCAGCAGGAACUCCAAUCAAGAAUUCUGAAGCCGUAAGAGCACUUAUGGACGUUAUCCUGCUACCCACUCAAGUAGGCAUCAUCAAGGUGGCAGCUCACGUGAAGAUCACAGAUGAAAUCUCAAGAGGAAACCACAAAGCAGACGAAGCUGCCAAGCAAGCAGCAAUCAAAGUUCAUCCCUCUACAGGUAAUACCUUUCUACAAGUUGUUCUUACAGAUGACGCCAUUGACUACAAUAUACUGUUGAGCUUACAAAGACAGGCAAGCAAGGAAGAACAUGACCUCUGGAGGAAACAAGAUGCAGAACCUGAUGAUGACAGAAUGUGGAGGAAAGGUAAAAGACUGUGUUUACCACGAGUGUUGUACCCCAUGAUGGCCCAGAUUGCCCAUGGACCUACACAUCUAUCCAAGAUGCACAUGAACAGCAUAGUAAACACCCAUUGGUUAGCACCCGGAUUUACUGUUGUAGCAGCUAAACACACCCAAGCUUGCAUGAUUUGUGCUAGAAACAAUCCAGGACAAGCUGUGAAAACACCAAGUAAGCACACACCAAGGCCACUUUACCCGUUUCAAAGACUGCAAAUAGACUAUAUUCAACUACCUAAGGUAGGAGUGUAUGAAUAUGUGUUGGUGUGCAUUGAUCUCUUUUCAGGUUGGCCUGAGGCCUACCCAGUGUCGAAAGCCACAACGAAGGUCACAGCAAGUAAGCUUCUGAAGGAACUGGUAUGUAGAUAUGGAGUACCUGAAGUGAUUGAAAGUGACAGAGGUAGCCAUUUCACUGGGGAAAUAAUGCAAGAAAUUAUGAAAGCCCUAGGGAUCAGUCAGGC